ensembl:lncRNA
GGGUCUUUCCAUUUUUUGAGAAGUAUUCCCUUUGUUUCCUUUGUUCCCCUCUGUUCUUUGUUCUCUUCUCACUUAUUCUCCUAUACAUAGAUGUACAAAGGAAUGGCUUCUUGUGUAGAGGGAAUUUCAUCCCCUCCCCCUCCAGGAUUGCUGACCUGGCCCAUCCCACUUUUAAAUGGGAGGUUUUCCUCAGUGGACAUUAAUAAAGGGGUGUGGCUUGAGCCUAAAGGGGUCUCUUUGUUCUUUGUUCCCUCACCACUUCCUUGAGCAAGCUGGUGAAGGAUGGAUGGAGAUUCCUACAGGAUGGGCUACACCUUCUCAGACUGAGAGGAGGAAAGUAAAAGUCAGGAAGACUGAUCUGUGUAUCAGGCAAAUAUGUGCAGUGUUUCAUGCCAGUGGACCUCUCACCUCGUCGACAAGGUAGGUUGAUGGUUCCUUUUAUUACUUUCUUUAGAUUUCCCUUUGAUCUGAUACACUUUGUUUCAAGUACUUUUAAAUGUGAGCUGUCACUUUCAGAUUAUGGAAAUGCCUGUCCUUACCAUGCCUAGAUACUCUUGCAAAUAUUCACAAAGUUCUUUCCAUAAUAUGUUUUGAACGUUAAUACAUGUAUAACCAGAUCAAAUUGAUUUUUCGUUCCACUGGGAUUGGUUGGUCUCCUUGACCUUGUGUUCUCACUGUUUCACACUGUACAGCACUUCUUUUGUGAUCCCUUUUUCUAAAAUCAGACACAAUUAUUAGUAACAGUUCUUUGAUAUUUAACAAUUAAUGGCAGGUUUCUAUAAUCUGGGUUAGGUAUGGAUAUUUAGGCUAAAGGAUAUUUUAAACUUAUCCUUUAAUAUAAAUAA